CACGUAGGGCGCAAGCGUUGUCCGGAAUUAUUGGGCGUAAAGAGCUCGUAGGCGGUCUGUUGCGUCCGCUGUGAAAACCCGGGGCUUAACCCCUGGCUUGCAGUGGAUACGGACAGACUAGAGGUAGGUAGGGGAGAAUGGAAUUCCCGGUGUAGCGGUGAAAUGCGCAGAUAUCGGGAGGAACACCGGUGGCGAAGGCGGCCUUCUGGGCUUGUCCUGACGCUGAGGCGCGAAAGCGUGGGGAGCGAACCGGA
rnacentral:rRNA from 1 species